UGUUAACUCGUGUAUUUAUCUCUGUGCGAUCGCGAUUAAUGUCGCGAAACGAACAGGAGAGUUCGACAACCCUGGUUUGAUACUUCUUUUCGUAUCGUAGUAGAAAAACGUCGUUCUCGCCACAGUUCUCGCUCUCACCGCUCCAAUUCGCACGGCUCUUACACACAACAAUGCAUUUUUCAUGGUGCGUAAGAUCGGUGCGUGCUCGGCCCCCAUCCUCUCCUCUGUCUCUCCCUCAGCACCACCACCACCAUCACCACUACCACCACUACCACCACCACCACCAUCACCCACACAAUGCGUUUCAAUAGAACAAACCGAAAGAGAGAAAGAGAAAUGAAAAAAAAGAAAGAAGAGAAGGAAAAAAACAAGAAGAGAAAAUAAAUGUAAAAAAGAACAAGGAAAAACAAAGGAAGGAGGAAGAAAGGAAGAAAAAAAAAAGGAUAGAACAGUCGGAAGGAACGAAUACAUACAUACAUGGGCUCGUCGACAAAACAGAGAUGGUGGACUUUUUGUCACGACCACUUUUUAUCUCCUUCCGAAGACUUUGCUCGCAAACCGCAACCUCCAUAACGACGACGCUCUCCUCUUAUUCUCUUCGAUCUCAAUCGACCGUUAUUCUUACGAUGACGUAGAAUUAUUAUCAAGGAAAGAAAGUAUUAAAAAUUAGAUACGAAUUAGCGAGAUACGCAAAAGUUUCUUGUAGUUUGAACACAAGCUCCAUCAUUCUACUUAGACAUAAUUUUAUCUCGCUUUAAUUUCUCUCUCUCUCUCUCUCUCUCUCUAUCUCUAUCUCUCUCUUUCAAAUGCAUUUUCGAUGAAUAAAUUCUACUGGCCAUUCUGAACUUUUUACCCGGGAAGAAAGAGAAAGUAUCUUUUAACGAAACCAAAGUUUGCUGAAGCAAUGAAAAUAAGUCUCAAGUUCUAUUCUACUGCGAGAAUUAGGAAAGUAGCGAAGGCAAAAAGGUAGGAGAAAUGCAUGGACUUGCAUAAUUGAACUUUGAUUUGUGUGAGAUUAUUGAAAGAAUGAGAGAGAGAGAGAGAGAGAAAAGAAAAAAAAAAAAAAGAAAAAUUCGCUAUAAACACCGAGAUCCUUAUGUGUUUCGUAUCGAUAUUGUACUACUCGUAUAAUUAAAAAUUUUUUAAAUCAUCAUUAAUCUUUUCUUUGCAUCGAGAAAAUCAAUAAGAAAAUCAAUAAGAAAAUCAAUGAGAAAAUAUACGACGUUGAGAAGAAUGUAAAGAAAGCGAACGCUACGUUUAAAUAUUAUAUAAUAUCUUAAUAAUUGUUCUGCAUUGACUCUUAAAAGAAAACGAAUAAAAAGAAGGUUUAUAUGCAGUACGUUACACGUUCGAGUAUUCUCGAAACGCCGAUCAAUGAUAUUGUUGAUCGAACGUCUUCAUUCGAAUUCAAAUCAAUCGUCAGCAAAUACUCCAAUUGGCACUCGUUCAUUCCUAACAUUUACUUUGAUUAAGUAAUCGUUUAAGAGCAGAGCAAAUGCUUUAAGUGCGAAGCGUUCGAGCAUACAACCAACCAACCAACCAACUAACCAACCAAGCGAAUGAACAAAUCGUAAUUCUCGUUAAAAAAAAAAAAAAAAAAAAAAUAAA